CGGUUGAUCCUGCCGGACCCGACUGCUAUCAGAGUGGGACUAAGCCAUGCGAGUCAACGCCGUAAGGCGUGGCAUACGGCUCAGUAACACGUAGUCAACAUGCCCAAAGGACGUGGAUAACCUCGGGAAACUGAGGAUAAACCGCGAUAGGCCAAGGUUUCUGGAAUGAGCCAUGGCCGAAAUCUAUACGGCCUUUGGAUUGGACUGCGGCCGAUCAGGCUGUUGGUGAGGUAAUGGCCCACCAAACCUGUAACCGGUACGGGCUUUGAGAGAAGGAGCCCGGAGAUGGGCACUGAGACAAGGGCCCAGGCCCUAUGGGGCGCAGCAGGCGCGAAACCUCUGCAAUAGGCGAAAGCUUGACAGGGUUACUCUGAGUGAUGCCCGCUAAGGGUAUCUUUUGGCACCUCUAAAAAUGGUGCAGAAUAAGGGGUGAGCAAGUCUGGUGUCAGCCGCCGCGGUAAUACCAGCACCCCGAGUUGUCGGGACAAUUAUUGCAGCUAAAGCAUCCGUAGCCUGUUCUGCAAGUCCUCCGUUAAAUCCACCCGC
rnacentral:rRNA from 1 species